AUUGAACGCUGGCGGCAUGCUUUACACAUGCAAGUCGGACGGCAGCACAGAGACGCUUGCUUCUUGGGUGGCGAGUGGCGAACGGGUGAGUAAUAUAUCGGAACGUACCGAGUAAUGGGGGAUAACUAAUCGAAAGAUUAGCUACUACCGCAUAUUCUCUGAGGCGGAAAGCAGGGGACCUUCGGGCCUUUCGUUAUUCGAGCGGCCGAUAUCUGAUUAGCUAGUUGGUGGGGUAAAGGCCUACCAAGGCGACGAUCAGUAGCGGGUCUGAGAGGAUGAUCCGCCACACUGGAACUGAGACACGGCCCAGACUCCUACGGGAGGCAGCAGUGGGGAAUUUUGGACAAUGGGCGCAAGCCUGAUCCAGCCAUGCCGCGUGUCUGAAGAAGGCCUUCGGGUUGUAAAGGACUUUUGUCAGGGAAGAAAAGGCUGUUGCUAAUAUCGACAGCUGAUGACGGUACCUGAAGAAUAAGCACCGGCUAACUACGUG
rnacentral:rRNA from 1 species